GAUGAACGCUGGCGGCGUGCCUAAUACAUGCAAGUUGAGCGAACAGACGAGGAGCUUGCUCCUCUGACGUUAGCGGCGGACGGGUGAGUAACACGUGGAUAACCUACCUAUAAGACUGGGAUAACUCCGGGAAACCGGAGCUAAUACCGGAUAAUAUAUUGAACCGCAUGGUUCAAUAGUGAAAGACGGUUUUGCUGUCACUUAUAGAUGGAUCCGCGCCGCAUUAGCUAGUUGGUAAGGUAACGGCUUACCAAGGCGACGAUGCGUAGCCGACCUGAGAGGGUGAUCGGCCACACUGGAACUGAGACACGGUCCAGACUCCUACGGGAGGCAGCAGUAGGGAAUCUUCCGCAAUGGGCGAAAGCCUGACGGAGCAACGCCGCGUGAGUGAUGAAGGUCUUCGGAUCGUAAAACUCUGUUAUUAGGGAAGAACAAAUGUGUAAGUAACUAUGCACGUCUUGACGGUACCUAAUCAGAAAGCCACGGCUAACUACGUG
rnacentral:rRNA from 1 species